ACCGCAUACGAUCUGACCUCGGCAUCGAGGAUAGAUGAAAGGUGGCCUCUACAUGUAAGCUAUCACUGAAGGAGGGGAUUGCGUCUGAUUAGCUAGUUGGAGGGGUAACGGCCCACCAAGGCGAUGAUCAGUAGCCGGUCUGAGAGGAUGAACGGCCACAUUGGGACUGAGACACGGCCCAG
rnacentral:rRNA from 1 species